GGCUGCGCCGGGCGACCGCCCCCUCCCGCCUCCCUCGCACGGGCACGGCGCGCCGCGGGCGAGCGAGCGGCCUCGGCGGCGCUGCUGCCGCCGGUGCCCCGCACAGGGCUCAGCGGCGGCGCAGGAGGAUGGCGGCGGCGGUCGCGGCGGCGGCGGCGGGCACAGCAGCAGCAGCAGCGGCGGGGCCGAGAGGCCGCGCGGCGGGAGCCAGCACCGUCCCGAGCAGCUCAUGGUGGCGCCCCAGACCCGCCAGCAGCGGCCGCGCCGGGGCCGCCAGCUGAGCCGGAUCCCGGCGGGCGGCUCUCCCCUGUCCACACCGACCCACCGAGCGACCCGUCCCUCUCCCCCGGCGAACCCUCUCCCCCCUCCCCGGCUCGACCCGCACCUCGGAUCGGCCCCGCCGGCGCCGGACUGCCACCACCCCCGGGCGCCGCGGGGAAGGCGGCGGCGAAGGGCACCGGGCAGCGCCAGGCGGCGGCGGGACCAUGGGCGCGAAGCAGAGCAGCCCCACCGCCGCCAAUGGCCGCACCCGGGCGUACUCGGGCGGGGAUCUGCCUUCCUCCAGCAGCAGCAGCAGCGGCGGCGCUAACGGGACCGGCGGGCGCUCGGCGGGCGCCGGCGGGCGGUACGCGCACCUGGCAGCGGCGCCUCACGCCGCUCCGGGCGGCGCGGCGGCGGCCGGAGGAGCGGCGGCGGCGGGGGGUGCCGCGGGGUCGGCACCCCGGAGCAGGUCCCUGGGGGGGGCCACCGCCUCCGGCGCCCGGGCGGCGCAGUCCGCCCUAAACAUCCUCCACAGCGUCGGCCCCUACGGCUCGCAGGACUCGGUCAACAGCACCCCGGAGGAGGGCGGCCGGGAGCGGCCCGCGGGGAGCGGCGGCGGCGGCGGCGGCUCCUCCGGCAGCUCCUCCGGCGGGCCUCGGCUGGUGAUCGGCUCGCUGCCCGCCCACCUCUCGCCGCACCUGUUCGGAGGAUUCAAGUGCCCUGUAUGUUCAAAAUUUGUAUCUUCUGAUGAAAUGGAUUUACAUCUUGUGAUGUGUUUGACAAAACCAAGGAUAACCUACAAUGGUAAGAAAGAAAGGAUGUGCUGAGUAAAGAUGCUGGGGAGUGUGCAAUAUGCCUGGAAGAGCUGCAGCAAGGAGAUACUAUAGCACGGCUGCCUUGCCUCUGCAUAUAUCAUAAAGGCUGCAUAGAUGAAUGGUUUGAAGUAAAUCGAUCUUGCCCUGAGCAUCCAUCAGAUUAAGACAAGAUUCAUGUUUUUAGCUGCUUCCACUGAUCAGAAAACAUAGGAGAUGUGAGGUUCCCUUGCUGAACACAGCAUGCCUGGCUUGAGACUUACAGUUCUUUGUGGCUGAAAAAGGCAAAGAUGGACAAUGACAUGGAAAAAGCAUUGCAGACACCAGUUACUUGCCAGUAGUGCUCAGUAUACCAAACACUCAUGCAAAGGACACACAGGGAUUUUGAAAAUGCUGCACAUCCUGUAACAAUCGACUCCCCACAGACAUUACUGACACUAUUUUGUAUCGAACGCCAAAGUUCCUAAUUUCAGCCUAACUUCUGGUUCUGUGAAGAAGCGAGUUAUUGGACGUUUCCUACUGCCUCGAGUAGAAGCGGAGAUGUUCAAUACGUGCUAUCUGAGACCCUUGCAGGAGGAUGGCCCCGGAUUUGAGUGGGAACGUUUUCACCUUCUUGUUGGCUGAAGAAUAGUAAAUGGCAAACUAAAUAAAUUCUAAUAGUGUGACCUUAAUUUACUGAAUUCA